UACAGAGGGUGCAAGCGUUGUCCGGAUUUAUUGGGCGUAAAGAGCUCGUAGGCGGCUUGUCGCGUCGUCCGUGAAAACUUGGGGCUCAACCCCAAGCUUGCGGUCGAUACGGGCAGGCUAGAGUUCGGUAGGGGAGACUGGAAUUCCUGGUGUAGCGGUGAAAUGCGCAGAUAUCAGGAGGAACACCGGUGGCGAAGGCGGGUCUCUGGGCCGAUACUGACGCUGAGGAGCGAAAGCGUGGGGAGCGAACAGG
rnacentral:rRNA from 1 species